AGGAUAAACGCUGGCGGCGUGCCUAAAACAUGCAAGUCGAACGGGCUAUGCCUUCGGGUGUAGUUAGUGGCGAACGGCUGAGUAACACGUGGGUGACCUGCCCUCGAGCGGGGGAUAACUGCCCGAAAGGGUGGCUAAUACCGCAGAUGUCAUGUCUUCGGUGAGAUGACUGAACCGAUUCAGGGUUCGA
rnacentral:rRNA from 1 species